rnacentral:rRNA from 1 species
GAUUUCUGGCUUUGGCGCGCUUGGCCCGCCGCGGUUUCGCGUGUGCGUGCCGAUGUGUGCCGGUCAUCCUUCGAGAGAGCCGUUCUACUCUUUACUGGGUCGGAACGGUCAUCUCGAUCUUUUACUUUGAAAAAAUUAGAGUGUUCAAAGCAGGCUUACGCUAUGAAUACAUUAGCAUGGAAUAAUAAUUUAGGACUUUGGUCUUAUUUUGUUGGUUUCUAAGACUGAAGUAAUGAUUGAUAGGGAUAGUUGGGGGUGCUAGUAUUCAGCGGCCAGAGGUGAAAUUCUUGGAUUCGCUGAAGACUAACUUAUGCGAAAGCAUU